AGCGAACGCUGGCGGCAGGCCUAACACAUGCAAGUCGAACGGCUCUUCGGAGCAGUGGCGGACGGGUGAGUAACACGUGGGAACGUGCCCUAAGGUACGGAACAACUGAGGGAAACUUCAGCUAAUACCGUAUGUGCCCUACGGGGGAAAGAUUUAUCGCCUUAGGAGCGGCCCGCGUUGGAUUAGGUAGUUGGUGGGGUAAAGGCCUACCAAGCCUACGAUCCAUAGCUGGUCUGAGAGGAUGAUCAGCCACACUGGGACUGAGACACGGCCCAGACUCCUACGGGAGGCAGCAGUGGGAAUCUUGCGCAAUGGGCGAAAGCCUGACGCAGCCAUGCCGCGUGUAUGAUGAAGGUCUUAGGAUUGUAAAAUACUUUC
rnacentral:rRNA from 1 species